GAUGAAGAACGUAGCGAAAUGCGAUAAUUAAUGUGAAUUGCAGAAUUUAGUGAAUCAUCGAAUCUUUGAACGCGCAUUGCGCCCCUUGGUAUUCCGGGGGGCAUGCCUGUUCGAGCGUCAUUUCAACCCUCAAGCUCUGCUUGGUAUUGGGCCGCGCCGGCGACGGCGGGCCUCAAAAACAGUGGCGGCGCCAUCUGGUUCCUCAGCGUAGUAAUUCUUCUCGCUGUUGGGCCCGGGUGGCCGCUGGCCAGCAACCCCAAAUUUUCUAUGGUUGACCUCGGAUCAGGUAGGGAUACCCGCUGAACUUAAGCAUAUCAAUAAGCGGAGGA
rnacentral:misc_RNA from 1 species